rnacentral:rRNA from 1 species
GAUGAACGCUGGCGGCGUGCCUAAUACAUGCAAGUCGAGCGAACAGACGAGGCGCUUGCUCCUCUGACGUUAGCGGCGGACGGGUGAGUCACACGUGGAUAACCUACCUAUCAGACUGGGAUAACUUCGGGACACCGGCGCUAAUACCGGAUAAUCUAUUGAACCGCAUGGUUCAAUAGUGAAAGACGGCUUUGCUGUCACUUAUCGAUGGAUCCGCGCCGCAUUAGCUAGUUGGUAAGGUAACGGCUUAUCAAGGCAACUAUGCGUAUCCGACCUGAUAGAGUGGUCGGCCACAUUGGAGCUGAGACACGGACCAGACUCCUAAGAGAGGCAGCAGUAGGGAAUCGUCCGCAAUGGGCGAAAGCCUUACGGAGCAACGCCGCGUGAGUGAUGAAGGUCUUCGGAGCGUAAAACUCUGUUAUUAGGGAAGAACAAAUGUGGAAGUAACUAUGCACGUCUUGACGGUACCUAGUCAGGAAGCCACGGCUAACUACGUG